GCAGUCUGUAAACAAAGUGUAAACAAAGAAUAAUCAGUGCAAUUUAAUGAGUAAUUGCACACUUAAUUGAANAAAAAAAAUUCUCGAAAACCAGAAUCAUAAUAGAAUCAAUUAAGCAACAGGUUGUCGGCGUCGAACUCUGGCUUUUUACUUAAGUCCUGAUAAACUCUUGAUGCUUGAACCACAAUAUUCCCUUUCACUUUAUUGCCAUCCCAAUUGAUCAUUGCCGCACCAUAACGUACACGCAUUAUCCGCAACUGUCUUUGCGGUGUCGAUAAGAACUGACACUUCCAACUAGCACUCGCGUCGCCCAUAAACAUCUCCAAAUGCCUCAUUAGAUACAAGCCAGUAUCUAUAGUGUUAUGUGGAUCUGCCCAUUUCAUCUUCACAACAUGCAUCUUUGAAUUCAUCACUAUCUUUGCUUUCUGCUCUUCAUUAUUGUAUUUUAGUAAAUCCGACAAAAGUUUUUUCUGCAAUACAGAUACAUAAUAAUAAGUUUAAUCAAACAUAAACAUGAUUUUGAAUAGACAUAAAAAUAAUGUUAGAAACUUACAAAAGUAUUGCACACUUCCUCAUAUAUGUCAUUUUCUUCAUUAGCAGUAAUGUCCAGUGCACUAUCCAACACAAACACACGUCCCUUCCGAAGAUCCACACACACGGCAUAGUAUAAACCUUUUCUGUAUACUGGGAAAAAGUACUGUAAUAUGAAAAUAAUUAAGAACCCGAUAUUGAUAAUACAUAAUAAUACCACAACU
rnacentral:lncRNA from 1 species